rnacentral:rRNA from 1 species
GAAUCCGCUAAGGAGUGUGUAACAACUCACCUGCCGAAUGAAUUAGCCCUGAAAAUGGAUGGCGCUUAAGCGGGUGACCGACACCAUACCGUUUGGACAAAGUGGCUUUCCAAAUGAGUAGGAGGGCGCGGCGGUCGUAACGAAGCGUAUGUGCAAACGUGCGUGGAACGGCCCCCGGUGCAGAUCUUGGUGUUAGUAGCAAAUAUUCAAUUGAGAACCUUGAAUGGCGAAGCGGGGAAGGGUUCCACGCGAACAUUGAUUGUGCGUGGGUGAGUCGUUCCUAAACUGAGUGGUAAUCGCUAAUUAUCAGUGAAAGGGAAGCAGGUUGAAAUUCCUGCACACGGAUGUAGUGGCGGUGACGCACCAUCAGGAGCAAUGACGCUCGCGGUGGAUCUGGGCAGAGUUUUCUUUUCUGUUUGACCGUUCCCAGGUACUCUGUGGAAUCCGCUUGUCGGGAGAAACAGGUAUUGAUGGGCAAAGCGCCGGGGAUUUUCCGGCGUCCAGAUCUCCAUCGAGGGCCCUUGAAAAAUUGCUUGCUGGCAUAAUGGCUUUACGCCAUUAUGUGGAAAAAUCUCUACGCCGUAACGUACCCAUAACCGCAUCAGGUCCCCAAGGUGAACAGCCUCUGCCAAAUAUGAUUAAUGCAGGUAAGGGAAGUCGGCA